GAAGCGGCAACAGCUCAAAUUUGAAAUCUGGCCCUUUCGGGGUCCGAGUUGUAAUUUGUAGAGAGUGUUUCGGGUGAGAUCACGGUCUAAGUCCAUUGGAACAUGGCGUCAUAGAGGGUGAGAAUCCCGUAUGUGACUGUGGAUCGAGCCCAUGUGAAGCCUCUUCGACGAGUCGAGUUGUUUGGGAAUGCAGCUCAAAAUGGGUGGUAAAUUUCAUCUAAAGCUAAAUACUGGCUGGAGACCGAUAGCGCACAAGUAGAGUGAUCGAAAGAUGAAAAGCACUUUGGAAAGAGAGUCAAACAGUACGUGAAAUUGUUGAAAGGGAAGCGCUUGCAACCAGACCUGUCCGUAGGUGAUCAGCCGCUGUUCUCAGUGGUGCACUCGCUCUGCGAUCAGGCCAGCAUCGGUUCGGGCGGUCGGAUAAAGGCCUUGGGAAUGUAGCUUCCUUCGGGGAGCCUUAUAGCCCUCGGUGCAAUGCGGCCAGCCGGGACCGAGGACCGCGCUUCGGCUAGGAUGCUGGCGUAAUGGUUGUAAGCGACCCGUCUUGAAACACGGACCAAGGAGUCUAACAUCUAUGCGAGUGUUUGGGUGUUAAACCCAUGCGCGGAAUGAAAGUGAACGGAGGUGAGAACCCUUAAGGGCGCAUCAUCGACCGAUCCAGAUGUCUUCGGAUGGAUUUGAGUAUGAGCAUAGCUGUUGGGACCCGAAAGAUGGUGAACUAUGCCUGAAUAGGGUGAAGCCAGAGGAAACUCUGGUGGAGGCUCGCAGCGGUUCUGACGUGCAAAUCGAUCGU
rnacentral:rRNA from 1 species